AGCGAACGCUGGCGGCAGGCCUAACACAUGCAAGUCGAACGAAGUCUUCGGACUUAGUGGCGGACGGGUGAGUAACACGUGGGAACGUGCCUUUAGGUUCGGAAUAACUCAGGGAAACUUGUGCUAAUACCGAAUGCGCCCUUCGGGGGAAAGAUUUAUCGCCUUUAGAGCGGCCCGCGUCUGAAUAGCUAGUUGGUGAGGUAAAGGCUCACCAAGGCUACGAUCAGUAGCUGGUAUGAGAGGAUGACCAGCCACAUUGGGGCGAAGACACGGCCCAAACUCCUACGGGAGGCAGCAGUGGGGAAUCUUGCGCAAUGGGCGAAAGCCUGACGCAGCCAUGCCGCGUGGAUGAUGAAGGUCUUAGGAUUGUAAAAUCCUUUCACCGGUGAAGAUAAUGACUGUAGCCGGAGAAGAAGCCCCGGCUAACUUCGUGCCAGCCGCCGCCGUAACAC
rnacentral:rRNA from 1 species